rnacentral:rRNA from 1 species
GCCAGCAGCCGCGGUAAUACGAAGGGUGCAAGCGUUACUCGGAAUUACUGGGCGUAAAGCGUGCGUAGGUGGUUAUUUAAGUCCGUUGUGAAAGCCCUGGGCUCAACCUGGGAACUGCAGUGGAUACUGGAUGACUAGAGUGUGGUAGAGGGUAGCGGAAUUCCUGGUGUAGCAGUGAAAUGCGUAGAGAUCAGGAGGAACAUCCAUGGCGAAGGCAGCUACCUGGACCAACACUGACACUGAGGCACGAAAGCGUGGGGAGCAAACAGGAUUAGAUACCCUGGUAGUCCACGCCCUAAACGAUGCGAACUGGAUGUUGGGUGCAAUUUGGCACGCAGUAUCGAAGCUAACGCGUUAAGUUCGCCGCCUGGGGAGUACGGUCGCAAGACUGAAACUCAAAGGAAUUGACGGGGGCCCGCACAAGCGGUGGAGUAUGUGGUUUAAUUCGAUGCAACGCGAAGAACCUUACCUGGCCUUGACAUGUCGAGAACUUUCCAGAGAUGGAUUGGUGCCUUC